rnacentral:tRNA from 1 species
ACGUCGUUGCCGUGGCGGCAGGCGAGCCUCCAAAGCUCGCGAGCCGGGUUCGAUUCCCGGGCGGCGUG